UACGUAGGAUCCAAGCGUUGUCCGGAUUUACUGGGUGUAAAGGGGUGCGCAGGCGGACUUAUAAGUCAGGGGUGAAAUCUCGCUGCUCAACAGCGAAAACUGCCUUUGAUACUGUAGGUCUUGAAUUAGGGAGAGAUUCGUGGAAUUCCGAGUGUAGCAGUGAAAUGUGUAGAUAUUCGGAAGAACACCAGAGGCGAAGGCAGCGAAUUGGCCCUAUAUUGACGCUCAGGCACGAAAGCAUGGGGAUCAAACAGG
rnacentral:rRNA from 1 species